GGAUAAGUGGACGUUACUCGCAGAAUAAGCACCGGCUAACUCUGUGCCAGCAGCCGCGGUAAUACAGAGGGUGCAAGCGUYASMUCGGAUUUACUGGGCGUAAAGCGCGCGUAGGUGGCUAAUUAAGUCAAAUGUGAAAUCCCCGAGCUUAACUUGGGAAUUGCAUUCGAUACUGGUUAGCUAGAGUAUGGGAGAGGAUGGUAGAAUUCCAGGUGUAGCGGUGAAAUGCGUAGAGAUCUGGAGGAAUACCGAUGGCGAAGGCAGCCAUCUGGCCUAAUACUGACACUGAGGUGCGAAAGCAUGGGGAGCAAACAGGAUUAGAUACCCUGGUAGUCCAUGCCGUAAACGAUGUCUACUAGCCGUUGGGGCCCUUGAGGCUUUAGUGGCGCAGCUAACGCGAUAAGUAGACCGCCUGGGGAGUACGGUCGCAAGACUAAAACUCAAAUGAAUUGACGGGGGCCCGCACAAGCGGUGGAGCAUGUGGUUUAAUUCGAUGCAACGCGAAGAACCUUACCUGGCCUUGACAUACAGAGAACUUUCCAGAGAUGGAUUGGUGCCUUCGGGAACUCUGAUACAGGUGCUGCAUGGCUGUCGUCAGCUCGUGUCGUGAGAUGUUGGGUUAAGUCCCGCAACGAGCGCAACCCUUUUCCUUAUUUGCCAGCACUUYGGGUGGGAACUUUAAGGAUACUGCCAGUGACAAACUGGAGGAAGGCGGGGACGACGUCAAGUCAUCAUGGCCCUUACGGCCAGGGCUACACACGUGCUACAAUGGUCGGUACAAAGGGUUGCUACUGCGCGAGCAGAUGCUAAUCUCAAAAAGCCGAUCGUAGUCCGGAUCGCAGUCUGCAACUCGACUGCGUGAAGUCGGAAUCGCUAGUAAUCGCGGAUCAGAAUGCCGCGGUGAAUACGUUCCCGGGCCUUGUACACACCGCCCGUCARACCAUGGGAGUUUGUUGCACCAGAAGUAGGUAGUCUAACCUUAGGGAGGACGSUACC
rnacentral:rRNA from 1 species